rnacentral:rRNA from 1 species
ACGCUCGACACCUACGGGAGGCGGCAGUUGGGAAUAUUGGACAAUGGAGGAAACUCUGAUCCAGUGACGCCGCGUGAAGGAAGAAGGUCUUCGGAUUGUAAACUUAUUUUGUCAGGGAAGAAAAAAUGACUGUACCUGAAGAAAAAGCACCGGCUAACUACGUGCUAGCAGCCGCGGUAAUCUGAGCGGGCUGGCAAGGC